rnacentral:rRNA from 1 species
UACGUAGGGCGCAAGCGUUGUCCGGAAUUAUUGGGCGUAAAGAGCUCGUAGGCGGCUUGUCACGUCGGGUGUGAAAGCCCGGGGCUUAACCCCGGGUCUGCAUUCGAUACGGGCUAGCUAGAGUGUGGUAGGGGAGAUCGGAAUUCCUGGUGUAGCGGUGAAAUGCGCAGAUAUCAGGAGGAACACCGGUGGCGAAGGCGGAUCUCUGGGCCAUUACUGACGCCGAGGAGCGAAAGCGUGGGGAGCGAACAGG